GACGAACGCUGGCGGCGUGCCUAAUACAUGCAAGUCGAACGAGAGCAACCGGUGCUUGCACUGGUCAAUCUAGUGGCGAACGGGUGAGUAACACGUGGGUAACCUGCCCAUCAGAGGGGGAUAACAUCCGGAAACGGAUGCUAAAACCGCAUAGGUCUUCGAACCGCAUGGUUUGAAGAGGAAAAGAGGCGCGAGCUUCUGCUGAUGGAUGGACCCGCGGUGCAUUAGCUAGUUGGUGAGGUAACGGCUCACCAAGGCCGUGAUGCAUAGCCGACCUGAGAGGGUGAUCGGCCACAUUGGGACUGAGACACGGCCCAGACUCCUACGGGAGGCAGCAGUAGGGAAUCUUCCGCAAUGGACGCAAGUCUGACGGAGCAACGCCGCGUGAGUGAAGAAGGUUUUCGGAUCGUAAAACUCUGUUGUUAGAGAAGAACAAGUGCUAGAGUAAAUGUUAGGGCCUUGACGGUAUCUAAACAGAAAGCCACGGCUAACUACGUG
rnacentral:rRNA from 1 species